UACGUAGGGUGCAAGCGUUAAUCGGAAUUACUGGGCGUAAAGCGUCUGUAGGUGGCUUUUUAAGUCCGCCGUCAAAUCCCAGGGCUCAACCCUGGACAGGCGGUGGAAACUACCAAGCUGGAGUACGGUAGGGGCAGAGGGAAUUUCCGGUGGAGCGGUGAAAUGCGUAGAGAUCGGAAAGAACACCAACGGCGGAAAGCACUCUGCUGGGCCGACACUGACACUGGAGAGACGAAAGCUAGGGGAGCGAAUGGG
rnacentral:rRNA from 1 species